rnacentral:rRNA from 1 species
GAGGCUGCAGCACCCGAAUAUUCCACAAUGGGCGAAAGCCUGAUGGAGCGACGCCGCGUGUGGGAGUAAGCCCUUCGGGGUGUAAACCACUGUCAGGGAUCACCAAGCGACGGGGCGAACAGUCUCGGAAGUUGAGGAGUCUCCAGAGGAAGUCACGGCUAACUUCGUGCCAGCAGCCGCGGUAAGACGAAGGUGGCGAGCGUUGUACGGAAUUACUGGGCUUAAAGAGCACGUAGGUGGGCUUGCAAGCGUCUUGUGAAAGCCCCCCGGCUUAACCGGGGAAUUGCAGGGCGAACUGCCAGCCUUGAGGCAGGUAAGGGCGAGUGGAACUCUUGGUGGAGCCGGUGGAAUGCGUAGAUAUCAAGAGGAACGCCGGAGGUGAAGACGACUCGCUGGGCCUGUCCUGACACUGAGGUGCGAAAGCCAGGGGAGCAAACGGGAUUAGAUACCCCGGUAGUCCUGGCCUUAAACGAUGUCCACUAGGUCGGAGGCCUUCUGACAGGCUUCUGGCUGCAAGAAAACCAUUAAGUGGACCGCCUGGGGAGUACGGUCGCAAGGCUAAAACUCAAAGGAAUUGACGGGGGCUCACACAAGCGGUGGAGCAUGUUGCUCAAUUCGAUGCAACGCGAAGAACCUUAUCCUGGGCUUGACAUGUUCGGAUGCCUCCCUGGAAACAGGGUUGGUUGCCCUUCGGGGUGAAACGUUCACAGGUGCUGCAUGGCUGUCGUCAGCUCGUGUCGUGAGAUGUUGGGUUAAGUCCCGUAACGAGCGAAACCCUUGUCGCUAGUUGCCAGCGAGUUAUGUCGGGGACUCUAGCGAGACUGCCGGUGUCAAACCGGAGGAAGGUGGGGAUGACGUCAAGUCCUCAUGGCCUUUAUGCCCAGGGCUGCAAACGUGCUACAAUGGCUGAUACAAACCGACGCAAGACCGUGAGGUGGAGCAAAUCGGAAAAAAACAGCCCCAGUUCGGAUUACAGUCUGCAACUCGACUGUAUGAAGUUGGAAUCGCUAGUAAUCGCAGAUCAGCAAUGCUGCGGUGAAUGUGUUCCUGAGCCUUGUACACACCGCCCGUCGAGUCAUGGAAGCCGGUAGCGCCCGAAGU